GGAUGCGAUCAUACCAGCACUAAAGCACCGUAUCCCAUCAGAACUCCGAAGUUAAGCGUGCUUGGGCGAGAUUAGUACUAGGAUGGGUGACCUCCUGAGAAGUCCUCGUGUUGCAUUCC
rnacentral:rRNA from 1 species